rnacentral:rRNA from 1 species
UUAAAUGGCUGCAGUAAUUUGACUGUACAAAGGUAGCAUAAUCAUUAGUUUUUUAAUUAAAAGCUUGUAUGAAAGGUUGGACGAAAUAAAAUCUGUCUCUUUUUAAAAAAAUUAGAAUUUUAUUUUUAAGUUAAAAAGCUUAAAUUUUUAUAAAAGACGAGAAGACCCUAUAGAGUUUUAUAAUUUUAAUUUAAUAAUUAAUUUAGAUUUAUUAAUUUUAUUUUAUUUAAAUUAUUUUAUUGGGGUAAUAAAAAGAUUAGAAAAAUUCUUUUUUAAAUAAAUCAUUAAUAUAUGAAAAUUUUAUGAUCCAUUAAGUUUUGAGUAUAAG